rnacentral:rRNA from 1 species
AGUGGCACCGCUGGGUAGCUAUGUUCGGAAAGGAUAAACGCUGAAAGCAUCUAAGUGUGAAGCCUCCCUCAAGAUAAGAUAUCCCACAGAGUUAAUCUGGUAAGGCUCCUUUGAGAUUAAGAGGUUAAUAGGCCAAAUGUAUAAGCAGUGUGAGCUGUUUAGCUAACUGGUACUAAUAAGCCGAGGGCUUGAUACC